rnacentral:rRNA from 1 species
AAGAAAGUAAGCAAGGGCGCAUGGCGGAUGCCUUGGCUCUCGGAGGCGAUGAAGGACGUGAUAAGCUGCGAUAAGCUCUGGGUAGGUGCAAAUAACCUUUGAUCCAGAGAUUUCCGAAUGGGACAACCCGGCAUUCUGAAGGAAUGUCAUCCAUCUUUGAUGGAAGCUAACGCAGGGAACUGAAACAUCUUAGUACCUGUAGGAAAAGAAAAUAAUAAUGAUUCCCCUAGUAGUGGCGAGCGAACGGGGAAUAGCCCAAACCACCCAUGUUACGGCAUGUGUGGGGUUGUAGGACCACGAUGUCGCAAGACAUUUGAUGAGUAGAAUCCUCUGGAAAGUUGAACCAUAGACGGUGAUAGUCCGGUAUACGAAGUCAAAUUAAGCGUAGUGGUAUCCUGAGUAGCGCGGGACACGAGAAAUCUUGCGUGAAUCUGCCGGGACCAUCCGGUAAGGCUAAAUACUCCCGAGAGACCGAUAGCGAACCAGUACUGUGAAGGAAAGGUGAAAAGCACUUCGAA